rnacentral:rRNA from 1 species
CUGACCUCAAAUCAGGUAGGACUACCCGCUGAACUUAAGCAUAUCAUAAACGCGGGGGAGAAGG